UACGUAGGGGGCAAGCGUUGUCCGGAAUCAUUGGGCGUAAAGCGCGCGUAGGCGGCCCUGUAAGUCCGCUGUAAAAGUCAAAGGCUCAACCUUUGAAAGCCGGUGGAUACUGCAGGGCUAGAGUCCGGAAUAGGCGAGUGGAAUUCCUGGUGUAGCGGUGGAAUGCGCAGAUAUCAGGAGGAACACCAAUAGCGAAGGCAGCUCGCUGGGACGGUACUGACGCUAAGGCGCGAAAGCGUGGGGAGCGAACAGG
rnacentral:rRNA from 1 species